rnacentral:misc_RNA from 1 species
ACUCAUGCACCUUAACAUUCUCAUUAUGGACUUUCUCUUUCUCUAAGAUUCUUGCAGUAACAUUUGGUGAAAGAGUUGAAAAUCAAAAGGCAGUUUCUCAUUUUUUGAGGCCAAUAAAGUGAAAAGUAGCCUAAUUUCUGCAUCAUGUUGAAGGUUUUGUGCAUCCAAGCAUAAAAUAAACAAUAAACAUGCACACGCAUUAGCGUUUGAAACAAAUGAAUUUCAAAAAAUUUUAUGGAAUUCAUUUCUAAAUCAAGGAUUUCGUGUUCGGAACAAAAAAAAGAAAAAAAAAUCAACAUAACUUACCCAAAUUCUAUUUAUAUCAAGUUAAUGAAAACCAAUAUUUAAGUAUUUUCAGGAACUCUCUAGUUGUCUUCUUAGCAAAUCAGAGCUGCAUUAUAAGAUGGAAACAUAGCAUGCAAUAGUAAUUAACAAGUUAUAGUGAUCAAGUCUAAACGAAUGGAGAACAUAAGAGCUUCUAUUGAUCCUAAGAAGUGAUGGAAAGUGAUUUCCCCCUUAGUUUUAUAUUCCUGUAUCCCUUUCUCUCUCCCCCACCAAAUAAAGAGAAGGGAAGAGAGCUUUCAUUCCAUUUAUACCUUCCCUAACUUUCUUUUCCUGCAACCACAAGGAUUCCCAGAACAGGGCAUUAAACUCGAAAUUGAGCAUCAGGAAAUGAAUUUUAAUAUAAAAAAAAUUGAGCUCUCACGAGAUAAAUAAAAAUACCUUGUGAGACGCCCGCAGAUAGCAUCCGAUCCAUAUUAUCAAUACGGCGUUGUAUAGAUUUUAGGAGAGAGUUCAAUGAAGAAACUCUCUUUCUAACUCCUGAAAUCUUCGCAGCAUGCUGCAUAAUGAAGAGCAAGGGUGCAUCUUCUAACAACUGAUCAAGCUCUAAUACCAUUCACAGACAACAAAAAUUUUAUCUUUUAUAUACAUAUACAAGACAUUUUACAAUAAAUAGUUAACCCAGAAAAUAUUUCCACAUCGAAGAUAAUAUAGUUACCUCGGGUUAGACGAUCUAAGGCAGAAUCAAGUUGGUCUUGGCUUUUGAGAGUGUCUUGAGCUUUAGAAUCGAAAUCCCUUAUAAGACUGGCAAGCAUUGUAGAUAAACCCUUGGCUAAUGCAUCGCUGCUCUUGUUGAUUUCAUUUUCAGUGUUGGGCUUAGAUUGGUGAUCUUCAGGGUUGAUUUCACAGGGAUCCUUACUUCCAUUAGAUGAAACUGGAGGGUCUAUUUGAACAGAAACAGAGAUGCUACUUUUGUCGUUGGGAUCGAACGGAUCUUCUGGAGUCUCCAUUCUCAAGGGGGAUUUCGAGCAUCGGAGUGAGGAAGCAAAGGCGUGACAGGUGUUCAAGCGAGAAGAAAUUAGAAGACUCCAAUGGGCCAAAGA